UCGGGAAUUUUGGGCAAUGGGCGAAAGCCUGACCCAGCAACGCCGCGUGAAGGAUGAAGUAUUUCGGUAUGUAAACUUCGAAAGAAUAGGAAGAAUUAAUGACGGUACUAUUUAUAAGGUCCGGCUAACUACGUGCCAGCAGCCGCGGUAAUACGUAGGGACCAAGCGUUGUUCGGAUUUACUGGGCGUAAAGGGCGCGUAGGCGGCAUGACAAGUCACUUGUGAAAUCUCCGGGCUUAACUCGGAACGGCCAAGUGAUACUGUCACGCUAGAGUAUUGGAGGGGCAAUCGGAAUUCUUGGUGUAGCGGUGAAAUGCGUAGAUAUCAAGAGGAACACCUGAGGUGAAGACGGGUUGCUGGCCAAAUACUGACGCUGAGGCGCGAAAGCCAGGGGAGCAAACGGG
rnacentral:rRNA from 2 species